GCAGUAGCAAAAGUGACGGCUCUAAUCAGCAGUAUUCGUUGAAACAAUUAUUAGCAAUCAAUAUGCAGACCAACAAAAAAAACCAGUAAAAAAGAACAAAGUAUGGCAACAGCAAAGUAAACGUGUAUGCAGAAGCAGUGGCGAGUGAGCACUUUUCUAUGUACCAUAAGUGCGAGCGGGACGAUGCAUUAAUGCCCCAACUCACUCUGAUCUAUAAAGCAGCAAAUGCAUUUGAGUUUUACGUGAGUGCGUUGCACCGCCUACAUUUCAGUGUUGAGUGAACAGAAAUACGGCGACUUUUAGCUUACGCGUUUUUUUUAUGCUAACGGAACGUUACGUCGCCGCCACCAUAGAUAAACAAGCACAGGGGUGGACAUACGAGUCUAUACAGUAAUAUAGAUAUGUAUAUAUGUACAACCCCCAGUAAGUUUUGUAUGCUGCAGUAGCUGUGUGGAAAAGGUUGCGUUCCUUGGCCUAUGUAGCAGAGAUCAGCACCGUUGACGCCGACUGCGCUACUUUGGGGAGUGUAUACAUAAUAUAUUGGAGGCUGGUACUUCCGUCGCUAUCGCAACAUUAAAACAGUGCCGUCUGGUGAACCUUGAAUAAAUGUAAAAAAAAACAAUGCAAAUACAAGUUAUAAAAUAGUGGACAAAAUAUUAAGAAGGCAUCAGCAUAUAAACGACCGAAACAGACAGCUUUCGAUCUUGGGCAUCUGUCUGGAUACUCCUGGGAGCACUGAACAAAAAAUAUUUGGGAUGUUAAUUUAUGCAAAAUACGAUGGCAGGCAC
rnacentral:lncRNA from 1 species